GGAGGCCAUGGCUCAGUGGUAAAGUAUCUGUUCUGCACACAGAAGGUUCCAGAUUCAAUUCCUGGCAUCUCUG
rnacentral:tRNA from 1 species